rnacentral:rRNA from 1 species
AUGAACGCUGGCGGCGUGCCUAAUACAUGCAAGUCGAGCGAACAGACGAGGAGCUUGCUUCUCUGACGUUAGCGGCGGACGGGUGAGUAACACGUGGAUAACCUACCUAUAAGACUGGGAUAACUUCGGGAAAACGGAGCUAAUACCGGAUAAUAUAUUGAACCGCAUGGUUCAAUAGUGAAAGACGGUUUUGCUGUCACUUAUAGAUGGAUCCGCGCCGCAUUAGCUAGUUGGUAAGGUAACGGCUUACCAAGGCGACGAUGCGUAGACGACCUGAGAGGGUGAUCGGCCACACUGGAACUGAGACACGGUCCAGACUCCUACGGGAGGCAGCAGUAGGGAAUCUUCCGCAAUGGGCGAAAGCCUGACGGAGCAACGCCGCGUGAGUGAUGAAGGUCUUCGGAUCGUAAAACUCUUUUAUUAGGGAAGAACAAAUGUGUAAGUAACUAUGCACGUCUUGACGGUACCUAAUCAGAAAGCCACGGCUAACUACGUG